GGAGGAACUGUGGCUCAGUGGUACAACAUCUGCCUGGUGUGCCAAAGGCCCCAGGUUCAAUCCCCGGCAUCUCCA
rnacentral:tRNA from 1 species